UCCUCCUUCAAGCAAGCAGUGACAGAGAAAUCAAGUCUACACAUAAUAUAGUUUUCGACCAUUCUUCAGGCCAGUGGCGUAUAUAUGAUUUUUCCGAGAUAUUGAUUUUGGAAAUGUGCUGUCUUGUAUAAAGUGUACCCAGGCUGAAAUAAAAGAUACAUUUUUAAUAAUUUAUACAUAAUAUAUUUGUAAGUAAUUUAUAACUCAACCUGUCCG